UACGAAGGGGGCUAGCGUUGUUCGGAAUUACUGGGCGUAAAGCGCGUGUAGGCGGAUUGCUAAGUCAGGGGUGAAAUCCCGGAGCUCAACUCCAGAACUGCCCUCGAUACUGGCGACCUUGAGUACGGGAGAGGUGAGUGGAACUGCGAGUGUAGAGGUGAAAUUCGUAGAUAUUCGCAAGAACACCAGUGGCGAAGGCGGCUCACUGGCCCGGUACUGACGCUGAGGUGCGAAAGCGUGGGGAGCAAACAGG
rnacentral:rRNA from 1 species